UCCAGUCCUGGCCUGGUUAGGAUGUAGGUUACACAAUCCGUACCAGAAUUUGGUCCACAUGGGUCCAAUCUGAUGAAUAUUGAUCGAUGCAUAUUUCAAACAAGUGUAGCAGGGGGCGGGUUUAGUUUUCAUAUCCUAAAAUCAGGCAAAAAAAGCAAUGCUAUGCUAAGCUUCUGGUCGUCUGCUGAUGCAGCCUGACUAUGUGGACAA
rnacentral:lncRNA from 1 species